CCACAUCUUUUUAUAAAAUGCUUACAUUUAUUAGCAAACGACAAAUGAAAUAUUUCAAAAUUACAUAUAAAGCAAUAUACAAGAAAUAGUUUCCACAAUACAACAGAAAACAAUGGCUUCAAUAACAUCAAAUAACUGAUCUCCACCCACAAGAAAAAGAAAGAGUUCAUCAUCGUCCACAGAUGAAUAGUUGACGUCUGAAGUAUCAUAAUGGCAUAGUGUCCACUUAAUUAAUUACACCUAAUAAGCCUCUCUUCCUGGCAUAAAAGGGGAAAAAGGAAACUAGAUAACAUACACAGUACUGUGCAGGCUUUUGGAAUCCAUAACACAAUCAAGACAACAUAAACAAGUCUACUAGUGUAGUCACACUCUACUUCCUUCCGAUAUUGCAAUAUCAAAUAGAGGAAUUAGUAGGCUUGAAUGUAUACAUAAAGUAUUUGAAAUGAUAUUUUACUAAAAACAAAUAAUAAUUGAUCGAUUGAUGCAACUGUGAAGGACAUUGUUCAAUACACUACUUACCUCUUAGAAGAUUUGUUGGAUUUAGCAGUAACAUUAUUGAUAAAGAACAAGGGAUUUCCAAGUUGAAUAGAGAGGCAGUAGAAUCUGAUUCAAGUGAAAUGAAGACAAGAAGAUGUAUAUCUUCUAGAAGGACAGAUGGCACCAUUUCAUCCUUUGGAUCAGAAAGUGUUGGCAUAAAUCCUAGCCCUACACCUGCAUAGGAUUCUUUGUACAGAAUAUAAAAUUAGUUAUUCUUUGUUUUUACUUGAACAAAUAAUGUUUAGCCAGCUGUAUAGUUUGUUACUCUUUUCCUUCGUUUUGUUAUUUUCUUUCUCUGCACAAAAUAGUUGUAUAUAUACGUUGCCUUACAAUGAAGGAAUACAAGGAAAAUUUCUCAAUAUUCUCUCUAGUUUCUACAAGAUUUGCACCGAUGUAAUUGCUAUAUCCCUGCAGUAGAUAUUAGAUCAUGUAAUAAAAUGACCACUUUGAGAACCGAAGAGGAUAUGAUGGAAAAACUCGACAUGCGUAGAAAACUUUUCUCACUUUUUAUAGUCAUGUUUGAGUUUUCCUUUAGAUCCCAUAAAUCAACAAAGACUUCAUUUUUCAUUCUCGAUAUCUGUUGAAUUAUGAUACUCCUUAUUUUGAAUGUUUUUUCUAUUUUUCUUUCUAUGCAUUGAAUGAUAUGCAAAAAAAAACGCAGCUAUACUAUCUAAUACAAGCUAUUAGACAUAUAUUUAGUGUUUUAGAAGCCUUUUCUUUUUUUUCUUUUUUUUAUUUCUUUCUUAU
rnacentral:lncRNA from 1 species